CCUACGGAGGGCAGCAGUGAGGAAUAUUGGUCAAUGGGCGGAAGCCUGAACCAGCCAAGUAGCGUGCAGGAUGACGGCCCUACGGGUUGUAAACUGCUUUUAUACGGGAAUAACGCGCCUUACGUGUAGGGCUUUGCAUGUACCGUAUGAAUAAGGACCGGCUAAUUCCGUGCCAGCAGCCGCGGUAAUACGGAAGGUCCGGGCGUUAUCCGGAUUUAUUGGGUUUAAAGGGAGCGUAGGCCGCAUGUCAAGCGUGCUGUGAAAUGUCCGGGCUCAACCCGGGCCUUGCAGCGCGAACUGGCGUGCUUGAGUCCGCGGAAAGCAGGCGGAAUUCGUCGUGUAGCGGUGAAAUGCUUAGAUAUGGCGAAGAACCCCGAUUGCGAAGGCAGCUUGCUGCAGCGGAACUGACGCUGAUGCUCGAAAGCGCGGGUAUCGAACAGGAUUAGAUACCCGUGUAGUC
rnacentral:rRNA from 1 species